rnacentral:rRNA from 1 species
UACGUAGGGGGCUAGCGUUGUCCGGAUUUAUUGGGCGUAAAGAGCGUGUAGGCGGCCAGGUAGGUCUGCUGUGAAAACUCGAGGCUCAACCUCGAGACGUCGGCGGAAACCAUCUGGCUAGAGUCCGGAAGAGGAGAGUGGAAUUCCUGGUGUAGCGGUGAAAUGCGCAGAUAUCAGGAAGAACACCCGUGGCGAAGGCGACUAACUGGACAUGUAUUGACGCUGAGGUGCGAAAGCGUGGGGAGCAAACAGG